GGCUCAAUGGCCGAGUGGUGUAACGGAAGCACACUGCAAACUUCAGGCGCCAACCCUUGGCCGGGUGGCAGUGACAACCUGAAGUGCAAGGUCCCAGGUUCAAUUCCGGGUAGAGUCA